AGUGGUAGUGCCUUACGCUGGU
rnacentral:miRNA from 1 species